rnacentral:rRNA from 1 species
GCUUAACACAUGCAAGUCGAGCGGAGAUGAGGUGCUUGCACCUUAUCUUAGCGGCGGACGGGUGAGUAAUGCUUAGGAAUCUGCCUAUUAGUGGGGGACAACAUUCCGAAAGGAAUGCUAAUACCGCAUACGUCCUACGGGAGAAAGCAGGGGAUCUUCGGACCUUGCGCUAAUAGAUGAGCCUAAGUCGGAUUAGCUAGUUGGUGGGGUAAAGGCCUACCAAGGCGACGAUCUGUAGCGGGUCUGAGAGGAUGAUCCGCCACACUGGGACUGAGACACGGCCCAGACUCCUACGGGAGGCAGCAGUGGGGAAUAUUGGACAAUGGGGGGAACCCUGAUCCAGCCAUGCCGCGUGUGUGAAGAAGGCCUUAUGGUUGUAAAGCACUUUAAGCGAGGAGGAGGCUACUGAGACUAAUACUCUUGGAUAGUGGACGUUACUCGCAGAAUAAGCACCGGCUAACUCUGUGCCAGCCGCCGCGGUAA